rnacentral:rRNA from 1 species
AUGGGUGCGAGAAAUGCUGCUAUGUGUUUUGUGCUGAUACUUGUGGUGUUUGCGAAUCAUGGUUCCGCAGAACAUAAGUGCUGGGAAAGGACCACUAGUGCUCCGCUCUGUGUAGGCUUUCUGUGCAAGGCGGCAUGCUUGAUUGCAGGCAAAACGUUUAACGCCAUCGUGAAGGAACACAAGUGUGUAGGGCCAGCAUUGAGCAGCUACUGCUACUGCUAUUUCUGCGACAAAUAG